AUUGAACGCUGGCGGAAUGCUUUACACAUGCAAGUCGAGCGGCAGCGCGGGGGCAACCCUGGCGGCGAGCGGCGAACGGGUGAGUAACAUAUCGGAACGUACCCAGUCGUGGGGGAUAACUAUCCGAAAGGAUAGCUAAUACCGCAUACGUCCUGAGGGAGAAAGCGGGGGAUCGCAAGACCUCGCGCGAUUGGAGCGGCCGAUAUCGGAUUAGCUAGUUGGUGGGGUAAAGGCCUACCAAGCCUACGAUCUGUAGCUGGUCUGAGAGGACGACCAGCCACACUGGGACUGAGACACGGCCCAGACUCCUACGGGAGGCAGCAGUGGGGAAUUUUGGACAAUGGGCGAAAGCCUGAUCCAGCCAUGCCGCGUGCGGGAAGAAGGCCU
rnacentral:rRNA from 1 species